AUCGAUCAUAUGAUAGAUUCAAUUAGCUCGAGUCCGUGUGUGAUUCUUAUAAAAACUCUUUUCCAUCAAUCACACUGCUAUGGCCAUAGACUUAAGGACUCAGCUUCUUAAAUUUCUAAGACUACUUCUUUCUGCUAGGAUCGAUAGAUUCCCUCACAGUGAGCAGACAUCCAUGUGACUUUUCAUGUUGGUCACGCUUAGUGCUAGUUGUUCUCUAACAACCACCUACACUCUUACUCCAGUGUCACUGCAUCG
rnacentral:lncRNA from 1 species